rnacentral:lncRNA from 10 species
AAAUUCUCACAGCAACAACAUGAAACGCCCUCCAGGGUGAUGACUGUGGGAGCAAAACUGACCGGAACCUGGGCGGUGCAUGCACUGUGCACCCUCCUGGUUAACAGCCCCACGGCCCGAGAGCUGUGCUUUACAUGAAUGUCUUCUGUUAAAGCAGCUCGUGUGGCUUCUGCACCCUGGUGGAGCCAACACACGUGCCUGUCACGGAGGUGAGGAGUGAGUGAGUUCUCACCAGCAUUUGACGCUGACCUUCCGGAGACAUGGCGUCCCUGAGAGCCUGCAGCCUGCCAGAGCAGAGAGCCACCCGCUGGCCGUUCUGUUGGAAUUUCGGAGUUCCUGUCUUUCAGGCAACAUCUGCCAAGCGCGGUUUGUGUAAGGAAACCCAUUCUGUCGUGUCUGCCGGGGCCCAGGGCGGCUGCUGUGCGGGAACCAGCUUUUGUGGCCCAUGGAGCAACGACUCAGUCUGGGGCUCGGCUACUCUCCGGCCCGGGGUACUGGCAUUUCCCUGGGGCCCAUGGGGCGAGUGCCCCUAUUUUUCCCAUGAGGCCUCAGCCAAGAGGAGGUUCGGGAAGAAAGGAAAACACAGGUGAGGAGAGAGAAGGGCGGGCAGAGAGGUACCACGCCAUUAGUGCUGAUGGGGAGAGGCGGCUCCAGCCCGGCACUGCUGUCCUUACGAGGCAUGUUUCCUUUUUAUUCGGAGGAAGAGAAGCAGAGGAACACGUCAUGGAGACGGACCGAGUUGAAGGAGCCAGGGAUGGUGACAAGCGGAAGGAAGUGUGUUUUGUCCCCAUCCAGGGAAGCUUUUGUUUCAUGAGACUUACUUGCGCACGUCUGGUAGCUGCCCUGGACAUUCAUGGACUUUCGUUUUCACUCAGAUUUUGUGGUUCACGUGACACAAAGCAUGAGGACAUCACUGGGCGAGAGGGCCAGGUCACCCCACUGCCGAGGGGCACGCCCCAGCUGUGCACCGCUAGAGUGGGCUUGUCCAGUCCUCGGACACGGGGACAGGGUGUGCCCAUCUCAUGUAAGACAUGAAUAAUAGUAGAAAUUUCUGUUGCAUGAGAACUCUCUGCAUUAUCCUCACCAUUUUCCUGUAAGCGUAAAACGUCUAAAACUUU